CCAAUAGCGUAUAUUAAAGUUGUUGCAGUUAAAAAGCUCGUAGUUGAAUUUCGGGGCCAGUAGGUCGGUCGUGCCACUGGUAUGCACUGGUCUCACUGGUCCCUCCUUCUUGUAGAACCGUGAUGGCAUUAAUUUGUUGUUGCGGGGAAACAGGACUGUUACUUUGAAAAAAUUAGAGUGCUUAAAGCAGGCUCGCGCUUGAAUACAUUAGCAUGGAAUAACGAAAUAGGACGAUCGAACCUAUUUUGUUGGUUUCUAGGAUCGACGUAAUGAUUAAUAGGGAUAGUUGGGGCAUUAGUAUUCAAUUGUCAGAGGUGAAAUUCUUGGAUUUAUUGAAGACUAACUACUGCGAAAGCAUUUGCCAAGGAUGUUUUCAUUAAUCAAGAACGAAAGUUAGGGGAUCGAAGACGAUCAGAUACCGUCGUAGUCUUAACCAUAAACUAUGCCGACUAGGGAUCGGAUGAAGUUAAUUUUUUAAUGACUCAUUCGGCGCCUUACG
rnacentral:rRNA from 1 species